rnacentral:rRNA from 1 species
UAAUACCGGAUAGGUGAUAGGGAGGCAUCUCUUGAUCAUUAAAGUUGGGAUACAACACGGAUGGAUGAGCUUAUGGCGUAUUAGCUAGUAGGUGAGGUAACGGCUCACCUAGGCGAUGAUACAUAGCCGACCUGAGAGGGUGACCGGCCACAUUGGGACUGAGACACGGCCCAAACUCCUACGGGAGGCAGCAGUAGGGAAUUUUCGGCAAUGGGCGAAAGCCUGACCGAGCAACGCCGCGUGAGUGAAGAAGGCCUUCGGGUUGUAAAGCUCUGUUGUGAAGGAAGAACGGCUCAUACAGGGAAUGGUAUGGGAGUGACGGUACUUUACCAGAAAGCCACGGCUAACUACGUGCCAGCAGCCGCGGUAAUACGUAGGUGGCGAGCGUUAUCCGGAAUUAUUGGGCGUAAAGGGUGCGCAGGCGGUUUUUUAAGUUUAAGGUGAAAGCGUGGGGCUUAACCCCAUAUAGCCUUAGAAACUGAGAGACUAGAGUACAGGAGAGGGCAAUGGAAUUCCAUGUGUAGCGGUAAAAUGCGUAGAUAUAUGGAGGAACACCAGUGGCGAAGGCGGUUGCCUGGCCUGUAACUGACGCUCAUGCACGAAAGCGUGGGGAACAAAUAGGAUUAGAUACCCUAGUAGUCCACGCCGUAAACGAUGAGAAAUAAGUGUUGGGGAAACUCAGUGCUGCAGUUAACGCAAUAAGUUCUCCUCCUGGGGAGUAUGCACGCAAGUGUGAAACUCAAAGGAAUUGACGGGGGCCCGCACAAGCGGUGGAGUAUGUGGUUUAAUUCGACGCAACGCGAAGAACCUUACCAGGUCUUGACACCCCCCGCAAAGACAUAGAGAUAUGUUGGAGGUUAUCAGGGAGACAGGUGGUGCAUGGUUGUCGUCAGCUCGUGUCGUGAGAUGUUGGGUUAAGUCCCGCAACGAGCGCAACCCUCGUCUUUAGUUACUAACAUUGAGUUGAGGACUCUAGAGAGACUGCCGGUGACAAACCGGAGGAAGGUGGGGAGGACGUCAAAUCAUCAUGCCCCCUAUGACCUGGGCUACACACGUACUACAAUGGCGGAUACAACGAGAAGCAAGACAGUGAUGUGAAGCAAAACUCAGAAAGUCCGUCUCAGUUCGGAUUGAAGUCUGCAACCCGACUUCAUGAAGCCGGAAUCGCUAGUAAUCGCGGAUCAGCAUGCCGCGGUGAAAAAAUUCUCGGGCCUUGCACA